rnacentral:lncRNA from 10 species
CGAGUGUCUUAGGAGGUCUCAUUCUGACUUAAGACUCUGUCUUAAUGUCUUGUUAAUUUUUUCCUAAAACAGGGAAAUAUCUUCAGGGGCCAGAUAGGUAAUACACAUGUGAGUUAUAGAACAGGAGGAAGUGGGAGAAAUGAGUUCACAUCUUCCUCAAGACCAUUCAAAUUAAAAUUUAAAAGCCACACUGUUCUGAUGAGAUGAAACAAGUGUACAAGAGCAUCAAUUUCAUCCCCAUUUUAGCAUGCACUCAUAAAAGAAAAUCCUAAUGCUUUUGCAUUUUGCCAUUGUGAUAUUAUGCAGCAAUUGUGUGGCUGUACCUAGCUUACUUCACUUAGCAUAAUGUCCUUCAGGUUCAUCCACAUUGCUGCUAAUGACAGGAUUUCCUUAUUCAUUAAGGUUAGCAAGAUCCUGUCUCAGAAAAUAAAUGAAUGAAUGAAUGAAUGAAUGAAUGAAUGAAUGGAGGGAAUCUGGCCAACUUUCGCAACUGACCUGAUCUGACAAACACUAGCAAUAACUCUAUAAACGGACAAAAAGCUUUGUAGUUUUAUUUUAUUUUAUUGAAGAACCAGGAAGAUCUUAGAAGUUUUACAUGAGAGAGGAACAAAUACUGAAAUUCUAGCAAAAUAAACAAACAAACAAAAAAACUCUUUCCAGGCUUAAAAUUUUGAAGGAAUGUAUCAUUUAACAAAUGCUCCCUUCUCUACUGAUCUGUCUGUUUCUUCUGGUGUCUUUGUUUUUUUUUUUUUUUUUUAGUAUUUAUUGAUCAUUCUUGGUUCUGUAUUAAGAAAAAUUCUUCUGCCUUGGGAUGCUGUUAAUCUUCUGGUGUCUUUUACCUGAGUUAGACAACUGAGCAAUUAAAGGGAACAGCACAGUCCCCACAAUAGGCCUCCCUCACUUCUAAUACCAACUGCAAGUUCAGAGGAUUCCUAGAAUGACCCUCGAGUUAGACAACUUGCUAGAAAGACUCACAGAAUUUACUGAAUGCAAUUUUCCUUACGGUUAUGGCUUAUGAUUAGGAAAGAUACAGAUUAAAAUCAGUUAAAGGAAGAAGCAUUAGGGCAGAUUCUGAGGCAGUACCAAAUGUGGAGUUUGCAUUGUCUUUGCUCUGUAGAGUCAGGACACAUUCCUUUCCUGAAAAUAUGAAAUUGAAAAGUGGCAAUAUGCAUAGAGUAUUGACAACCAGGGAAGUUUGCCUGAGCCUCUGUGCCCAGACCUCUCACUGGGGCUCCAUCACAUAGACAUGAUUGAUUGAUUGUCCAUAUGAUUAAUUUCUGUCUCCAGGUCAGCUCGUACCAUGUGACCCAAAGCCCCCACCUUAAGUCACAUUUUUACUGUCUGGCUUAGCCAAAGGUCUCCAUCCUAAAUCACAUUUUUAUUAUCUGGUGUUACCAGCCUCACGCUGAGAUAUAGACUGUGAGAUCCAAGGCCCCCACGCAAACAAAGACACUUCUAUCAGGCAUGACAGUCUGAAAAUUUAGAGAUUACCUUACAAAAACAAAGGACAAAGGCCAGAUGUCUCUUUGAACAAGGGUAAAUACUUUCCUACACACCUAUGACCUGCAUGUAAUCCCCUCCUCAAGUGUCUCUACUUUCUUUCAGAAACUACAUCAAGCUUGCCUAACCCGUGGCCCAGGACAGCUUUGGAUGCGACCCAACACAAAUUCGUAAGCUUUCUUAAAACAUUAUGAGUUUUUUUUUUUUUAAAGCUCAUCACCUAUUGUUAGUGUUUGUGAAUUUAUGUAUGGCCCAAGACAAUUCUUCCAGUGUGGCCCAGGGAAGCCCAAAGAUUGGAUACCUCUGCUCUAUACCUACCUACAAGGUAAAAUAUUAUCACCUGAUUCCUUUUCUUAUGAUUUAAACUAGAGGAAAGCCUUAGUUUUAGAUUUCUUCUGCCCAAUCCUGACAGACUAGGGUGGUAGUCAAGGUGAGAAAUGACUCUAAUACCCAAUAUAGACAGGUAUAUAUUUCUUUAAUUCUAUAUAGCUGAAGCCAUUUUUUUCAUAAUUUCUUCUUUCUGCUCAGUAAUAGAACAAAACGCACAAAAAAUAUUAACAAUGACUGCAACAACAAAAUUGCUUUAUUUUUUCUCCUUUAGGUUACUCAGUUUAUGGUUUAAAAGUUUCAUUUGCAUAAUUAUUCAGUCAAUUUAAGACAUAAAUUUACUUAACUCAAACUUAAAAUGUCCUUUCAGGGCUGCCCUCUUUUUUUAAUGGUUGUCCCUGCCCCAUCUUCCUCCCUGGAUGAUGUUUGGGUAUUGUGGGAAACCUGGUGAAAGAAGUAGAAAGACAUCUGGUUUACCUGCUCUUUACUAAACCACACUGACUCUCAUCAAGAUAACCCAUUCCAAUUUGUUUUAGGGUAAGUCCCUUUAUCCUCACUGUACUCAUUGAUGAUAUAAGUUCAGCACAGGUAGUUUAAGAUGAUCAGGAAAACUAAAGACUUUGAAUAAAGUGGGCAUGAGAAAGUCAAGAAAUUCCUCCCAAUGAGAGCAAUUAUAAAAAUCAAACAAGGUUAUUUAAAACAACAAGUUGAAAGGCCUGGAAAAUAACCUAAAUUGUGUUAAAAAAUAUUUGUUUAAUACAAAAAAGGCAGGAAAGAAGAAACAAAGUGAAAAAUGAGAUAAGACAAGUAGAAAACAAUUUUUUAAAUGGCAGACCAAAUCCAAUCAUUUCAAUAAUUACCUUAAAUGUGAAUGGACUGUGCACUUCAAAAUCAGAGAGUACCAGACUGGAUAAAAAACAAAAGUUACAUUUUAAAUAUACAUAACCAGAUUUAAAGUAAGUAAAAGAAGGCCAAGCGCAGUGACUCAUGCCUGUAAUCCCAGCACUUUGGGAGGCUGACGGGAGCAGAUCACUGGAGGUCAGGAGUUUGAGACCAGACUGGCCAACAUGGUGAAAUCCCAUCUCUACUAAAAAUAUAAAAAUUAGCCAGGCAUUUUGGUGCAUGCCUGUAGUCCCAGCUACUUGGGAGGCUGUGGCAGGAGACUUGCUUUAACCUGGGAUGUGGAGGUUACAGUUAGCCAAGAUCACUCCACUGCACUUCAGGCUGGGUGACAGAAUGAUACUUCAUCUCAAAAAAAAAAAAAAUAGAAAAGUAAGUAAAAGAAUAGAAAAAUAUAUACCAUGUAGAUAAUAAUUAUAAGAAAACUAGAAUGGUUAAAUUAACAUUAUAUAUAUAAAUUAUAUUAUAUAUAUUAUAUAUAAAUUAACAUUAUAUAUAAAAUUUGUAUAAGAAUAUUCUGGAGACAAAGAGAUGUAUUGCAUAAGAAUGUAUUCAUCAGGAAGACAUAAAACUUAUAUAUUCACAUUUUCCUAGUGACAG